UACAGAGGUGGCAAGCGUUGUUCGGAAUUACUGGGCGUAAAGGGCGCGUAGGCGGUCCCGUCAGUCCCUUGUGAAAUCCCCCGGCUCAACUGGGGAACUGCAAGGGAUACAGCGGGGGCUUGAGUUCGGGAGAGGGAAGCGGAAUUCCGGGUGUAGCGGUGAAAUGCGUAGAUAUCCGGAGGAACACCGGUGGCGAAGGCGGCUUCCUGGACCGAUACUGACGCUGAGGCGCGAAAGCUAGGGGAGCAAACGGG
rnacentral:rRNA from 1 species